UUAUUAUGACUUCAACAAGGAACUGUUAGGUUUUUAGGGAGGAAGUUUUUCCAGGUGUAUAAUGCAGACCCUGGCCUACAGGCACUUUCUGGAACUAGCUAAUUAGGAAGGUGGGGUAGAUUCUAGGGCCAGAAGCCAGAAUCCAUUAACCUAGUGUCCACCCUGCCUCUGGGGUAAGACCUUUUUGGUAGCAAGUGAAGCCUGUGACUAGUGAUUUCAGCUGCUUCUGUGCUUUAAGACAAUCUCUCUUCCCUCUCCUUGGUGGAAGAGAAAGCAAACAGCUAAAUCCCCAACCUCGUCUCCCUACCAAUGCAGAUGCAGAAAAAGGAAAGAGGGAACCAUAAAUAGGAUUGGUUUUCUGGAAAAAUGACAAGCUCCUCUUCACGUGAUGUGUUCAAAGAAUCAAAGAUUGGCCACUCCUCUGGGUCAGAAUAGAUGGGAUUCCUGCAUUGAGUAGGAGCCUGGGCUUAAGAUAUCAUCCACAGUGAUAAGUGCCACUUUGCUGGCGCUUAUUUGUUUCCAGAGGCACCUGGUCUUAGCCAUCCAGCUACGAUAAGGAGGCUAGUCACUUCCAGCUCUAAGAUUCUUUGAUUCCUUGACUCACCGCUCAGGUUAUAGGACUUUAAAAAAAAAAAAAAAAAAAAGGAGAUGAUAGGGAAACAAGAAUUUGUAAAUAGAGCAGGCCUGGAGCUACUGGGAGGGAUCCUGACCUAGCUGGAUCCGGGCUUAGUGCUGGAGGCUUUGGUUGCUCUUCUCUGGUGAUUAAUUCCAACUGUAUAAUCACCUUCCCCAGAUACUGUGGCUGCUGCUAGAUGGGAACUCACAGCCGUUGGAGACACCAAGGAUCAGAGGAUCAUAGGUUCAGAGCUGAAGGGGCAGGGAAGGCCCCAAGGUGAGGCCAAGAUAUUCUGACCAGGUCCGGGGAUGGAAACAGUUUCUAUGUGUCCUUAGCCAAAGCAAGUUCCCAGAGGCUGCCCACCUUGACCCCAGAGAGAUGAACAUCUUCUUCAUCUUCA
rnacentral:lncRNA from 1 species